CUCCCCAGCCACAAGCAAAAGACAUUUUUCUUGCUUAUUUCUUCGGUUUCUCUCAAAAUUCCAACUACCCACCCUAAAAUUUUGGUAAAAUCUCAACGAAGACCACCUAUUGAUCUUAUUUCCUCCAUCAAUCUCUUAAAUUUCAGUUAGGGUUUCAUGGGUUAUAGUGAGGGAAAGCUAUGACGAGUGAGACAAAGCUUUCAAUAAGGAUUUCCAAGCUUGACUGGUGUUGGAUUGGAGUUUGGAAGCAUGAUUAAGUGCUGCCGAUUUUUGCUGCGUUGCCGCUCCAAAACCUUGCUACCUGCCGCCGACCUUACCCAAUACAACUGCUGCCAUCAAUUGUUACGAUGUCGCCCAAGCUGUUGUUAUCAUGACCACUCUCUUCUUUGCUCCGUUUGCCAUAACAAAAAAUAAAUAAAUAAAUAAGGAAUAAGGUAUUGUACUUUUUUCGGCUUGCUACGUCAUUGUCAAUCAAUUUGUUGCAUCCGUAUCAAAAUAAUUGCCGCAGUCUUGUUUCCAAUCUUA